CACUCCUACGGGAGGCAGCAGUGGGGAAUUUUGGACAAUGGGCGAAAGCCUGAUCCAGCAAUGCCGCGUGAGUGAAGAAGGCCUUCGGGUUGUAAAGCUCUUUUGUCAGGGAAGAAACGGUGAGAGCUAAUAUCUCUUGCUAAUGACGGUACCUGAAGAAUAAGCACCGGCUAACUACGUGCCAGCAGCCGCGGUAAUACGUAGGGUGCAAGCGUUAAUCGGAAUUACUGGGCGUAAAGCGUGCGCAGGCGGUUUUGUAAGUCUGAUGUGAAAUCCCCGGGCUCAACCUGGGAAUUGCAUUGGAGACUGCAAGGCUAGAAUCUGGCAGAGGGGGGUAGAAUUCCACGUGUAGCAGUGAAAUGCGUAGAUAUGUGGAGGAACACCGAUGGCGAAGGCAGCCCCCUGGGUCAAUAUUGACGCUCAUGCACGAAAGCGUGGGGAGCAAACAGGAUUAGAAACCCUGGUAGUCCC
rnacentral:rRNA from 1 species